rnacentral:rRNA from 1 species
AUUGAACGCUGGCGGCAGGCUUAACACAUGCAAGUCGAGCGGUAGCACAGGGGAGCUUGCUCCCUGGGUGACGAGCGGCGGACGGGUGAGUAAUGUCUGGGAAACUGCCUGAUGGAGGGGGAUAACUACUGGAAACGGUAGCUAAUACCGCAUAACGUCGCAAGACCAAAGAGGGGGACCUUCGGGCCUCUUGCCAUCAGAUGUGCCCAGAUGGGAUUAGCUAGUAGGUGGGGUAAUGGCUCACCUAGGCGACGAUCCCUAGCUGGUCUGAGAGGAUGACCAGCCACACUGGAACUGAGACACGGUCCAGACUCCUACGGGAGGCAGCAGUGGGGAAUAUUGCACAAUGGGCGCAAGCCUGAUGCAGCCAUGCCGCGUGUGUGAAGAAGGCCUUCGGGUUGUAAAGCACUUUCAGCGAGGAGGAAGGUGGUGAGCUUAAUACGUUCAUCAAUUGACGUUACUCGCAGAGGAAGCACCGGCUAACUCCGUG